UCUGAUGCCAUUUCCAGAGAACGUGCACACAGUGGCCCUAAAGGCGUAGGAUAUUCUAAAGAUGUACCUUGUCCAUCUGAGUUAUCGGAAGUCAAGCCGUUAGGACUGUGCUCUUCUGAGCUCUGCCUGUAAAGCCCUGCAGACAACCUCCUCUCGGCAUGCUGCAGUCUCUCAUAGCCAGCUUGGUUGCAAAGGAACUCCAUCUGCUUUGCCAUCACCUUUUCAGGCUGCUACUGAAAGUGGACUCACAGAGGGCUGUGUUCCAGUGGACAUGUUAUUCAUUCCGUCUAAGCAGAAGGAUUCCCAACCUCACUUACUAACUAGCUGAAGAAACGUUUCCCUAGAGAUUUCAUUCCAAAUGGUAGGUUCCCUAAGGCACACCUAAGCUAGCAGGCAAUCUUUUUUUCCAUGUCCAUCUCAUUAUAUUCUAGGAAUUAAAGUUCAAAAUCUGUUUUUUAAUGUUUAACAUACCCUGUAAGGAGGAACACUAUUUAAGGACAACAGAUUAUCUUGAUUACUUAUAUGCAAUGUGUAUACUGCUAUUUUUUUCUUUUUAAAUCAAAUAAGUAACUAACUAUCCUUUAAGGGGGGAACAACCUACUACAAAAAUAAGAGCUUUCCAGGUAGAAAAAUCAGACAAGUGAAUGAAUUAAAACUUCAUUCCACCCAAGCCUUCAUGUAUAGAUCAGGAAAACACAGUAUUUAGCAACGAAAGAUCUUACUGAGCUUGAACAAAGCACUACUUGUAUUAGUGUACCCUAAUGCAUUAAUAAUGACAAGCAAGAAAAUGUUUCUCUUUCCUUUACAUGUCAAAUUAU
rnacentral:antisense_RNA from 1 species